AUCCUACGGGGGGCAGCAGUAGGGAAUCUUCGGCAAUGGGCGAAAGCCUGACCGAGCAACGCCGCGUGAAUGAAGAAGGCCUUCGGGUUGUAAAAUUCUGUUGAAGGGGAAAAAGAGCGGAGAGAGGAAAUGGUCUCCGAUUGAUAUUACCCUUCGAGGAAGUCACGGCUAACUACGUGCCAGCAGCCGCGGUAAUACGUAGGUGGCGAGCGUUAUCCGGAAUGAUUGGGCGUAAAGGGUGCGUAGGCGGCCUGCUAAGUCUGGAGUGAAAGGUACCGGCUCAACCGGUACAGGCUCUGGAAACU
rnacentral:rRNA from 1 species